rnacentral:misc_RNA from 1 species
GGAAGAGGAGAAUGACUAGAAACAAGUGAAAGAUCGAAAGAGGAAGGUGGACUUGAAGAAACAGGAGAACAACACUCAACUGGAGGACAAGAAUUGGAAGAAAUUGCAAGAUUUGAAAGAUACAUGAAACGAGAAUCAGGAACAACUGGCAAAACAAGAUUUGGUACAUCAAUAGGAUUAAUGAAAUUAAAAGAAACACAACACUGUUGAAAUGAGAAAAUAUUCUCAUGAAGACAAAGUCUUGAGAGACAAAACAACUUUUAGUAUCUAAAUCAUACAACUGAUACCCUUUGACACCAAUUGGAUAGCCAAGAAAUACAC